GUCUUACACAUAUUUGUUGUUUAGGUUUUUUUUUUUUUUUGUUUGGUUGGGUUUUUUUGUUUGUUUUUUUUUUUUUUUAAUAUGAGAUGGCAUUGACCAACCCUGAGAUACAGACCUAAAUAUGGAAGUUGCUUCACUUGAGGUUGUAACACAUCCUCUCUGUGGCAAAAGUUGUCACUAGCCCACCCAAGCCUUUUUGCACUGAAGAUCCUUUUGCACUGUUCCCAUGUGUGCCCACACAGACAAAUUUGUUCACAGCUCCCUGGGGAAGAGUUGCACUGUGCAGCAUGAGUAGGGAAAGGUUCCAGAAGCCCUUGUAAAAUGCACAGGUGACAGCAGAUCCUGUGGGAACAGGUCAGGCUUUGUUUUCAUCUGUGUGCCAGCCUGGAGAGUUGGCCAGGUGCUGGAAACAUAUGCCAAAGGGUGUCCUAAAAGUAGGUUGAAAACAGGAAAUUCAGCUGUGUUCACUAACUGUCCAUAGUGAAACAUGUUCUUUUUUUUACUGCCCUUAUCUCAACUGCACUGUCUUGGCUAGCAGAAAAUUAUCUCCAGUUUCAGCUCUGAAAGACUACGCCUAUUCUGCCUAUAAGGUCAAAGUAGGGCCCUGAUUUUGAAUUUGACUCUUUCCUAACUUUCUUUUCUUCUAGCUCCAAAACUAUCUUCUGCCUUCAUCUUCAACUUUCCUAAAUCUCAUCCUGAUCUGAUAUCCCUUAUUAUAUGUCUGCUGAAAUCCUUCUGCCCAAUUUCUCUGUAAUAGUUCAGUGUGUCCUUAACCAGCAAUUAUACAUCAGAGAUCAAAAGGAGCCUUUCUCCAUACCAAUAAGAUGCUUCUGAGACCAAAAUUUUACCUGUGUACAUAAAGGCUACUUUAUUGUCUGUGCUCUUCUAAAUCAAACUGAUGCCCAGUGCCCUCCAGCUUUCCUUCCUCAUGUUUUUCCUCUAAUGAUCUCUGCCUCUUACCCCAUCUCCUUCAUAGUCUGAACAAUUUGCAGUGUAGGAUCUCCUUCUUUGAUAUUGUCCUCCCAAACCCUCACACUGAUGGGUCACUCCCUGAUACGAAACAGCACAGACACUGUAGCUGCUGUUUGGCUUCACCCAGGGAACGUCUCUCCCCAACUGCUGCUGGCUAAUUAGAAGAUCUCAUGUGGUCUAAUAGCUUGGCUGCUAAAUGCAAAUCCCCUCAGCUGCAAAAUGCUGCGUUGAUUUGCUGGCAGCUCUCAAUUUUCUGCUCUUCUGCUAUUUUCUUAUUACACGAAGUAAAUACAACCCUUUCUUCUUUCCUAGAACAACCUAUUUAGCAGACAUUCAAAUAUGUAAGUAGUGAAGGUGAUAGAAAUAUACACUAAUGGAGAACUGAGGUUAUUAUUUGAGUACACACAGAGCCUUGGCUAUUCAAUCCUUGUUAUGGAAGGGUAGGUGAGUUCUCCAGCUCUAUAGUCCAGAGAAAA
rnacentral:lncRNA from 1 species